UACGUAGGGUGCGAGCGUUGUCCGGAAUUAUUGGGCGUAAAGGGCUCGUAGGCGGUCCGUCACGUCGGGAGUGAAAACUUACAGCUUAACUGUGAGCGUGCUUCCGAUACGGGCAGACUUGAGGUAUUCAGGGGAGAACGGAAUUCCUGGUGUAGCGGUGAAAUGCGCAGAUAUCGGGAGGAACACCGGUGGCGAAGGCGGUUCUCUGGGAAUAUCCUGACGCUGAGGAGCGAAAGUGUGGGGAGCGAACAGG
rnacentral:rRNA from 1 species